CUAGUAAUCGCAGAUCAGCAUGCUGUGGUGAAUACGUUCCCGGGCCUUGUACACACCGCCGUCACACCAUGGGAGUCGGUAACACCCAAAGUUGGUAGUCUAACCGCAAGGAGGACGCCGCCUAAGGUGGGGUUGAUGAUUAGGGUUAAGUCGUAACAAGGUAGC
rnacentral:rRNA from 1 species